rnacentral:rRNA from 1 species
GUGGGGAAUAUUGGACAAUGGGCGCAAGCCUGAUCCAGCCAUGCCGCGUGAGUGAUGAAGGCCCUAGGGUUGUAAAGCUCUUUCACCGAUGAAGAUAAUGACGGUAGUCGGAGAAGAAGCCCCGGCUAACUUCGUGCCAGCAGCCGCGGUAAUACGAAGGGGGCUAGCGUUGUUCGGAAUUACUGGGCGUAAAGCGCACGUAGGCGGAUAUUUAAGUCAGGGGUGAAAUCCCAGAGCUCAACUCUGGAACUGCCUUUGAUACUGGGUAUCUCGAGUAUGGAAGAGGUGAGUGGAAUUCCGAGUGUAGAGGUGAAAUUCGUAGAUAUUCGGAGGAACACCAGUGGCGAAGGCGGCUCACUGGUCCAUUACUGACGCUGAGGUGCGAAAGCGUGGGGAGCAAACAGGAUUAGAAACCCCUGUAGUCC